rnacentral:tRNA from 1 species
GCCAUGGUUAAAGCACUUGGCUGCUAACCAAAAGGUCGGUGGUUCGAAUCCACC